rnacentral:tRNA from 1 species
GCCGGAGUCCCCUAGUGGCCGAUGGGACCGACCUUGUAAGUCGGCACAACACACCGUGGGUUCGAAUCCCACCUCCGGCU